rnacentral:rRNA from 1 species
ACGCUGGCGGCAGGCUUAACACAUGCAAGUCGAACGGUAACAGGAGAAAGCUUGCUUUCUUGCUGACGAGUGGCGGACGGGUGAGUAAUGCUUGGGAAUCUGGCUUAUGGAGGGGGAUAACGACGGGAAACUGUCGCUAAUACCGCGUAGAGUCGAGAGACGAAAGUGCGGGACCGCAAGGCCGCAUGCCAUAGGAUGAGCCCAAGUGGGAUUAGGUAGUUGGUGGGGUAAUAGCCUACCAAGCCGACGAUCUCUAGCUGGUCUGAGAGGAUGACCAGCCACACCGGGACUGAGACACGGCCCGGACUCCUACGGGAGGCAGCAGUGGGGAAUAUUGCGCAAUGGGGGCAACCCUGACGCAGCCAUGCCGCGUGAAUGAAGAAGGCCUUCGGGUUGUAAAGUUCUUUCGGUGACGAGGAAGGCGUGAUGUUUAAUAGGCAUCACGAUUGACGUUAAUCACAGAAGAAGCACCGGCUAACUCCGUGCUAGCAGCCGCGGUAAUACGGAGGGUGCGAGCGUUAAUCGGAAUAACUGGGCGUAAAGGGCACGCAGGCGGCUAUUUAAGUGAGGUGUGAAAUCCCCGGGCUUAACCUGGGAAUUGCAUUUCAGACUGGGUAGCUAGAGUACUUUAGGGAGGGGUAGAAUUCCACGUGUAGCGGUGAAAUGCGUAGAGAUGUGGAGGAAUACCGAAGGCGAAGGCAGCCCCUUGGGAAUGUACUGACGCUCAUGUGCGAAAGCGUGGGGAGCAAACAGGAUUAGAUACCCUGGUAGUCCACGCUGUAAACGCUGUCGAUUUGGGGAUUGGGCCUUGAGCUUGGUGCCCGAAGCUAACGUGAUAAAUCGACCGCCUGGGGAGUACGGCCGCAAGGUUAAAACUCAAAUGAAUUGACGGGGGCCCGCACAAGCGGUGGAGCAUG